rnacentral:misc_RNA from 1 species
GAUGAAGAACGUAGCGAAAUGCGAUAAGUAAUGCGAAUUGCAGAAUUUCCGUGAGUCAUCGAAUCUUUGAACGCACAUUGCGCCCUCUGGUAUUCCGGGGGGCAUGCCUGUUCGAGCGUCAUUACAACCCUCAAGCUCUGCUUGGUAUUAAGCUUCACCUGAAAAGGCGGGCUCUAAAAUCAGUGGCGGUGCCAUUCGGCUUCAAGCGUAGUAAUUUUUCUCGCUCUGGAUGACCGGGUGUGUGCCUGCCAUAACCCAAAUUUUAUCAAAGGUUGACCUCGGAUCAGGUAGGGAUACCCGCUGAACUUAAGCAUAUCAAUAAGCGGAGGA